GUACGGAAGUGAAUGGUUUACACGUUUGUUCUGUUCCCUACAUUUUGUCUUUCAAAGGAUACUUCAACAAAGAAUCGAUGUUCAGCUUGUUAUAUCAUGGUAUGGACAGGCUAUAAUUGCCACUGGUCAUCAUGCAACUGCACAGUGAGAGGAUUCCUAUUCUGUAUGGGCAUCGUACUUCCAUUGCUAUCAAGAUCAUGGUCUUACACUCACAAGGGAUGCUGACACUGUAGUUUCCCAUUACCUUUCAUCCGUUGAGCCUCAAAUCUUCAAACCUUCAGUUUUCCCACCGUUGGCUAUAAACCUGCAUAGGCUUUGGAACCAUCCACCUUUUUGGACCACAUUUCAUCUAUUGCCUUCAUUUCGUCGCUGUCACCAUCGUCUCAUCACCUUCGCCUAGGGGCUGUCACCGUCGCCUCAUCGCCUUGUCACCGUCGCCUCAUCGCCUUGUCACCGUCGC